UCCGGCGAUCGCCCUCUGCUGACAUCUCUUCCCCCGACCCUUUCCUCUCUCUGUUCCUCGCAAACAACUCGACGCCGACGGGGCUUGCAAUCGUCUUCACCGCCUGAGGAGGAGGUCGCCGGAACCUUGCUAGAGGUCGAACAAGGAGGCGGAUCCUCCUGAUCUCAUGUUCUCAGGUCUUCCCCGAGCCUUUCCUUCCCCGAUCCUUCUGGGUUUUGCCGAUCCUUUCUUCCCCGAUUCGAUCGCUGGCUUGAAGAUGACCUAGGGUUUCGAAGGUCACGGAUUUGGAGAGGUUGGAAUCAGGGAGGUGUUGUUGGAUUAGGGGAAGGAAUCGGAUCAGACUCGUGCUAGGUUUUCCCUUGAUCGGAUCAGUGGACCUCCACCUCCUUGCUGUUGAUUGAGGUCUCGAAUUGAAGUGAGGGGAGGUGAGGUUCCAUUCUUGCUGUGGAAUUGUGUUUGGUUCCGGCAGUAACAAUCACCUCAAUCCAGCAUCAACAGUAGGUUCGAUCUGCUCUGUUCUAUUUGUGAACUUUCUGAUUUCGGCAGUAAACCAUCCAGCAACAACAACAACUGGAUUUGAGGACUCUGAUUCGAGACGGGCGUCUCGACUUCGGAUUAGGACUGGAUUGUACCUUCUCUUU